GUUAUACUCCCUCCGUCCGGAAUUACUUGUUGCAUAAAUGGAUAGAAAUGGACGUAUCUAGAACUAAAAUAAGUCUAGAUACAUCCACUUCGCGGACAAGUAUUUCUGGACAGAGGGAGUAUUCC
rfam:Triticum aestivum genome assembly, contig: Triticum_aestivum_CS42_TGACv1_scaffold_148589_2BS